AACCCGAAGGCGUGAAGCGGAUGGAACAUUGCGAUAAGUACAGAAGAGUCUGAAGCCAGCUUCCAAGAAAAGCUUCUAGCAUAACUGCAUUCUGCCCGUACCGAAAAUGGACACACAUGGGUAAGGAGAGAAUCCUAAGGUGAGCGAGAGAACUAUAGCUAAGGAACUCUGCAAAAUGACUCCGUAACUUAGGGAGAAGGAGUGCUCAGUGGAAGCUGAGCCGCAGUGAAACGGCCCAAGCGACUGUUUACCAAAAACACAGCUCUCUGCGAAGACGCAAGUCGAAGUAUAGGGGGUGACGCCUGCCCGGUGCUGGAAGGUUAAGGGGAGUGGUCAGCGAAAGCGAAGCCAUGAACCGAAGCCCCAGUAAACGGCGGCCGUAACUAUAACGGUCCUAAGG
rnacentral:rRNA from 1 species